AUUGAACGCUGGCGGCGUGCCUAACACAUGCAAGUCGAGCGAGAAAGCUCCUUCGGGAGUUAGUAAAGCGGCGAACGGGUGAGCAACACGUGAGAAUCUACCCUUUAGUGAAGAAUACCCUCGAGAAAUCGAGGCUAAUACUGCAUACGUCCCUUCGGGGAGAAAGAUGGCCUCUUUGCUAUCGCUAAAGGAUGAGCUUGCGUACUAUUAGCUAGUUGGCGGGGUAAAGGCCCACCAAGGCAAUGAUGGUUAACCGGCCUGAGAGGGUGUACGGUCACACUGGAACUUAGACACGGUCCAGACUCCUACGGGAGGCAGCAGUGAGGAAUCUUGCGCAAUGGGCGAAAGCCUGACGCAGCGACGCCGCGUGGAGGAUGACGGUUUUCGGAUUGUAAACUCCUGUUAAGCGGGAAGAAAGCCUUGUUUCUAAUACAAGCAAGGUAUGACGGUACCGCUAGAGAAAGCACCGGCUAACUUCGUGCCAGCAGCCGCGGUAA
rnacentral:rRNA from 1 species